GCCGAAAUAGCUCAGUUGGGAUAGCGUUAGACUGAAGAUCAAAAGGGCCCUGGUUAGAGCCUGGGUUUCGGCA
rfam:Salmo salar isolate Sally breed double haploid chromosome ssa27, whole genome shotgun sequence.